GUGAAGAAAAAGUAUUAUGUCAUUGUUUAAUGUCCGCAGUUUUUUUUUCUUUUCAUUUUUAGUGGUAGGUAGAAUAAUGGUGUGUCUUACAAUCAACGGCAUCUUGAUUUGACGAAAUGCAGUAUUUGUCUCAAGAAACAGAGAUUCUACAAGGGCAGUCCCAACAUGGAACAAUGAUCAAAUAAUGCUAUCAGGUACCCAGACUGUUUUCACCUUUCAUCUCUGUCCUGAGGAUUUGUAGAAACUUUCUUCCUUAUUCUUGUCAUUUUCUGGUGACAACACAGUUAUCUCUGCCUCAUGUUUAUGUUCCAAGCUACAAAAUUGAAAUGGAAAAUAUAUGGACAUCCAAAUAUACUGCUACAGCAAGUCUUUUACUUUUCAUUUGGAAAAGUCAUCUAAUUCAGAGACUUAAGUAAAAUAUACCUCUUUAGUCAUGUCCAUGUUAUGGCCUUUCAGAUCUUCAUGCAAGGCUGAGUGUCAAGUACGUAGAGUUACAGCUUCUAUAGUAGAAGGAGGAUGGCAAGGGAGCAGAUGUUGAGAAAUGACAACAAGUAAAAGUCUAAAAGCAAUCAUGGUAAUGAUAAACAUACAUUUGAGAUAUUGAUUAUCUUUGAAGGAAUUUAGAGAAAUGUGAUUGGAAAGUAUACAUGGGAUCCUUAAUUGUAAUUGUAUCAUGUUAUUUUCUAAGUUGGAUGAAACUAAGGGUUUUUACAUAUAUAUUUUUUAGUAUAUUAUUAGGAAUGAAAAGAAAGCUAAGUCAAAUUAUUUGGAAUUAUC
rnacentral:lncRNA from 1 species